rnacentral:tRNA from 1 species
GGUGGGUUGGCUCAAUGGUUAAGGCUUCGGUCUCGUAACCGAAAGGUCGCGGGAUCGAAUCCCGCUAACGGCUG